rnacentral:tRNA from 1 species
GGUCGAUUAGCUCAGUUGGUUAGAGCGCCGUACUAAUAUACCAUUCGGUUAUACAUGCGGAUGUCAUGGGUUCGACCCCCAUAUUGACCA